GAUUAUUUCAUUAAAAUUAAUAAUCAUUUAUGUUACAUAAAUAUAUACAUCGCAACGUGUUCGAGGUUCCACAUUCCAUGCUACACACGCAUGCGUAUAGCUUUCAAAGAAAAAAAUCAGUGUAAACUCAACAUAAAAAUGCACUUAUGACAUAUAAAAAUUAUUGCCAUUUGAAGUGCAAAUUGUAUUGGAACUGCAGAAAGAUAUUUUGUUUGACAUUUUGCCGCGAUGACGUAUGAUUUGGUGGAUUUUC